AUGUGGAAACGAAUCAGACCUGAUGGACAGCCCUGCGUUGAGGCUCUAGAGUUUAUUUUGGUGCGAACAUGUCCAUUGCAGUUGGUGAAGAGAGAUACAAAGAUGCAGGAAAUGUUUCUGUGUUUUGAUGGCCUUGUUUGGAUGCAUCAAUGCACUAGAAACAACGGGAUGAUAUUUGGCUAUUUGAUAAGGAUUUCAUACAUUUAUGUGUUCUCAAGAUGUUUCAAAAUAUUUUAUUCUGCUGGAAGGAUCUCCUCGGCUUCUCCUUCAUCGGCAGCGAAUGGAGUCCCAGAUCGAAGAUCACAUGCUUGUUCCUAUUAA
rnacentral:rRNA from 1 species